UUUCCGUCUUUGCGUUGUCCACAGACGGUUGUGCGCCUGGGGACAAGGAGCAACGCUCAAACAGCACCAAGGGGCUACGCACUACAGGGAGCAGUGUUGCAGAGUCCCUCUUGUUUCCCAACCAGUUUUAAUUAACGAGAGGAACUGGCAGCGCUUCACAAACCACAGACUGAAUCUUUUCAAGUGGUGAGAACUCUAAUCUUGAUCCAGAAAAACAGUCAUGCACAUGCCCAACUCCACAUGGCAGCAUAUGGACAUCUUAUUGAUUUGUGGGCUUGAAAUCUGUCCUUCCAGCAAAGAGAGCUGCAAAGAACAUACUUUGCUGCAAAACCAGCCAGGAAGGAUUGACACUAGCUAAAAACUCUGAAUGAAAGAUACCAGAAAGUCCAAAGAGAGUUGAAAGACCUGUUUUUUGUUUUGUUUUUCUGAGUAUCAUUUGAAAGGUGCCUAUUGUAAAGUGUGUGCAACUCAGCCUUCCUAGAAGGGCUGAACUGUCUUGUUAGCUCAGACUCUUUAGUCUGCAAAGCAAGGACAGAGAGCGGAUAUGACAGCUGUCUGCCAAUGUGUCAUCGGGCAAAGUGAAGACCUUAGAGAGAUAAGGGAAGACGUAAGCAAAGGGCAUACACUCCAUAAACAAACAGCAGAAAAUUACAAGUCUACCUAUUAAAAAAGGAAGGCCUGGAAGAGCCUUUCUAUAGGAACACUGGAAGAAAAACCAAACAAACCAGACUUUGUUAGGCAUUACGUGAUGUGAUGCGUGAAACAGCAGAGAAGUGUAUUUGGUGACUCAGCCCUAUUUCGCUCAGACGAUAGGAUUUUGGCCUAGAACGCCUCACCGCAGCAGGGAGGCUUAGUGAGUUCAAACCGCACCUUUCGUCAUGCCCUCCCCAGAAUUGCCUCUGUCCAUCCCUACCUCUGGGCUUCCAUUCUCCUCGUCCUCCUUCAGCAUUCCCACCUGCCUCUCUCCUGUGCUGCCCCUCCUCUGCCUGCACCCCCCACCUGUUUGGGCAGUGGCGAGGUGCGGGUGUGCUGGUGGGCAGGGAGGCUGCCACGGCUGUGCUAUCUGGCUGGCUGGCGGAAGGCACGACAACCUCUCUCAGGCACCCAAAGAUCCAAACAUCAUGGUGUCUCCUGGCCAUCUGGCAGGCCAAACAAACUGCUUAAUCGGCCAAGUGCGUCCUGCAAGCCAUAUGCUGUUUAAGUCUGGUAGAGAACAUUCCCCAGCUCCUUCAGUCUGCCUUUUUGUUGCAGGCUUCAAGAAGCAACAUGCAGCUGCACUGCCACCACUCCCCUAAAUUCUGCUGCGCUUUUCCAUGUUUAGCAGGCAUUGUGCAAGCUGGGAGGGCAUAGCUCUGCCUGCGAAUUCAUUUCUGUGUUAAAGACCUUGAGAACACAUCGGGGAUGCCUUGCUGUCUGGAAUACAGAAACUGCUGCAGAGGUGCAAAGAGCUGUUCAUCAUGUCUGAUUCAUUCCUAUUCCUUCCUUCAGGGACUUGCCAAAGGGCUUAAACAUGAAUCUUACAUUGGUCACAAGGUGACUCAGGAAAUCCUGAAUUUCCCAAAGACCAAAACGAAUGCACGUGGGGAAAGACCUGACAUCUCUGAGUAAUAAAGGAAAUUAAUAGCGGUAAAGACCCUCAAGAGCACUGUAUGAGAUUCCAGUAAUUACAGAUGCUCUUUGGUUUCCUUGAUCUAUACUGCCUGAAAGCACCACUUUUUUUCUACCUUUCUUCCUGCCUGUAGAUGUUUGAUAAAUAGAGAGUGGUUUCCAUGAUGUCAUGCAUCUAGAUUUCCUCUUCCUGGGCUCUGCACUUUGGCCAAACCUCUCUGCUGUGAAGGACAGGCCAUGCUUUACCAAGGUCAUACAGCAUCCAUAGGAAUCAAAAUACUGGUGAGCUAGGCCAGAGAUCUUCAACCACUCUCUGAUUUGGAGUUCGCAGGGCCCCAGAGAGCACAGGUCAAGACCUAUCAGGAGCUGGUAAAAGAAGGACAGAAGAUGAGAUACUUUUCUCCAUUACAAAGAUGGCCUGCAGCAUGAGAGGUUACCUGAUUACUGAGAAAAAAGUCACAAACCCAGAAGUCUCAGAGAAACAAAUGCAAGAACAAACCUUGGAAAAGAAUGACCCUAGCAACUGCCAUUCUGCAAACCUCACACAUUUUCCACUAGGAACAAAUUAUGAGCACAAAAAGCCACUAAAACAGAUGAAGGAUAGAAGACUCACAAGUAGUUUUAUUUGCCCUUCACAAAGAGUGGUACUUCCCACAGAAUUAAAGUCUGUGAAUCAGAAUCAGAGAUAUAAUAAAAGGGAUGUAGCAGAACCUA